CUACGGGGUGCUCCAGUUAAGAAUAAUCUACAAUGCACGCAAGUGUGAUAGUUUGAGCCAGAGUGAAUUUCAAUGAAAUUCUUUUGCCAAGUGUAAAAAGCUUGGCGAAUAAGGACUGGGUAAGACGAGUGCCAGCCGCCGCGGUAAUACUCGCGGUCCAAGUCGCAGCCAUUUUUAUUGGGUCUAAAACAUCCGUAGCUUGCUUCGUAAGUUUCUUGUGAAAUCUGAAGUCUCAAACUUCAGGCGGGCAAGAAGUACUGCAAAGCUAGAGACUGGAAGACGGAAGAAGUACGUUCGGAGUAGCGGUUAAAUGUGUUAAUCCCGGAUGGACUAACGAUAGCGAAGGCAUCUUCCGAGGACAGUUCUGACAGUAAGGGAUGAAGGCUAGGGGCGCAAAACGGAUUAGAUACCCGGGUAGUC
rnacentral:rRNA from 1 species